rnacentral:lncRNA from 13 species
CAGGCUCUCUGAGCUUUAUUGUCAACUUUACAUGAUAAAGAUAACAGCAGCUUCCUUGAAGACUGCUUUAAGAAUUGCAGAUUCAUCAUUUACUACUUCCUGUCACCAUGUGAAGAAGGAUGUGUUUGCUUCACCUUCUGCCAUAAUUGUAAUUUUCCUGAGGCCUCCCCAACCUUGCAGAACUUUCUACAGAAUGAAAAGUCCAAGAUCGAGGACCUUGCAAGAUUGGCUAUUUAGUGAAGGCUGCAUCCUCCAGAAGAAAGGAAUGCUGUGUCCUCACGUGGCAGGAGACAAAAGGGCAAGAAACCAAAUGCUGCAUGAAGCCUCUUUAUAAGGGUCUAAAUCCUAUUCUUGAGGAAGAUGCUUCAUGUCCUAAUUACCCCUAAAGCCUUCAGCUCUCAAUGCUAUCACAUUGGCAACACCUGAAUUUUGAAUGGCACACAUUUAAACCACAGGAAUAGGCUUCCAGUUGCUAGUGCCCUCUUCAAGAAGCUAAUGAGAUUUUCAUACAAAAUUAACUUAGGAAAAUAGGAAAGAAGCCAGCCCCUUUAAAGUGCACUGAGAAAAUCUACUCGGCUUGGAAUAAUUAAUUAAUGACUACUUAGUAAAUAUAUUGUCAACCUUGGUUUUGAAAAAGAGACACUUUGUGGAGAAAAGAGAAUUUUGAGGAAGUGAGGUGGG